CUCCUGGAAACGGGUGGUAAUGCCGGAUGUUCCACAUGAGCGCAUGCGAGUGUGGGAAAGGCUUUUUGCGGCAUGGGAUGGGGUCGCGUCCUAUCAGCUUGUUGGUGGGGUAACGGCCUACCAAGGCGUUGACGGGUAGCCGGCCUGAGAGGGCGACCGGCCACAUUGGGACUGAGAUACGGCCCAGACUCCUACGGGAGGCAGCAGUGGGGAAUAUUGCACAAUGGGCGCAAGCCUGAUGCAGCGACGCCGCGUGCGGGAUGGAGGCCUUCGGGUUGUAAACCGCUUUUGUUCAAGGGCAAGGCACGGUUUCGGCCGUGUUGAGUGGAUUGUUCGAAUAAGCACCGGCUAACUACGUGCCAGCAGCCGCGGUAAUACGUAGGGUGCAAGCGUUAUCCCGGAUUUAUUUGGGCGUAAAGGGCUCG
rnacentral:rRNA from 1 species